GACGAACGCUGGCGGCGUGCUUAACACAUGCAAGUCGAACGGAAAGGCACUGCUUUUGUGGGGUGCUCGAGUGGCGAACGGGUGAGUAACACGUGAGUAACCUGCCCUUGACUUUGGGAUAACUUCAGGAAACUGGGGCUAAUAUCGGAUAGGAGCUCCUGCUGCAUGGUGGGGGUUGGAAGGUUUCGGCGGUUGGGGAUGGACUCGCGGCUUAUCAGCUUGUUGGUGGGGUAGUGGCUUACCAAGGCUUUGACGGGUAGCCGGCCUGAGAGGGUGACCGGCCACAUUGGGACUGAGAUACGGCCCAGACUCCUACGGGAGGCAGCAGUGGGGAAUAUUGCACAAUGGGCGGAAGCCUGAUGCAGCAACGCCGCGUGCGGGAUGACGGCCUUCGGGUUGUAAACCGCUUUCGCCUGUGACGAAGCGUGAGUGACGGUAAUGGGUAAAGAAGCACCGGCUAACUACGUG
rnacentral:rRNA from 1 species